UGGGGAAUUUUCCGCAAUGGGCGAGAGCCUGACGGAGCAACGCCGCGUGAGGGAGGAAGGUCUGUGGAUUGUAAACCUCUUUUGUUAGGGAAGAAGCUCUGACGGUACCUAACGAAUAAGCAUCGGCUAACUCCGUGCCAGCAGCCGCGGUAAGACGGAGGAUGCAAGCGUUAUCCGGAAUUAUUGGGCGUAAAGCGUCCGUAGGCGGUUUUUCAAGUCUGUUGUUAAAGACUGGGGCUCAACCCUGGAUAGGCGAUGGAAACUGAGGGACUAGAGUGCGGUAGGGGUAGAGGGAAUUCCUAGUGUAGCGGUGAAAUGCGUAGAUAUUAGGAAGAACACCAGUGGCGAAGGCGCUCUACUGGGCCGCAACUGACGCUGAUGGACGAAAGCUAGGGGAGCG
rnacentral:rRNA from 1 species